rnacentral:rRNA from 1 species
CCUACGGGUGGCAGCAGUGAGGAAUAUUGGUCAAUGGACGAGAGUCUGAACCAGCCAAGUAGCGUGAAGGAUGACUGCCCUAUGGGUUGUAAACUUCUUUUAUAUGGGAAUAAAAUGUUCCACGUGUGGGAUUUUGUAUGUACCAUAUGAAUAAGGAUCGGCUAACUCCGUGCCAGCAGCCGCGGUAAUAAGGAGGAUCCGAGCGUUAUCCGGAUUUAUUGGGUUUAAAGGGAGCGUAGGUGGAUUGUUAAGUCAGUUGUGAAAGUUUGCGGCUCAACCGUAAAAUUGCAGUUGAAACUGGCAGUCUUGAGUACAGUAGAGGUGAGCGGAAUUCGUGGUGUAGCGGUGAAAUGCUUAGAUAUCACGAAGAACUCCGAUUGCGAAGGCAGUUCACUGGACUGCAACUGACACUGAGGCUCGAAAGUGUGGGUAUCAAACAGGAUUAGAUACCCGGGUAGUC